GAUGAAGAACGCAGCGAAAUGCGAUAAGUAAUGUGAAUUGCAGAAUUCAGUGAAUCAUCGAAUCUUUGAACGCACAUUGCGCCCGCCAGCAUUCUGGCGGGCAUGCCUGUUCGAGCGCCAUUUCAACCCUCGAGCCCCCCCGGGGGCCUCGGUGUUGGGGGACGGCACACCAGCCGCCCCCGAAAUGCAGUGGCGACCCCGCCGCAGCCUCCCCUGCGUAGUAGCACACACCUCGCACCGGAGCGCGGAGGCGGUCACGCCGUAAAACGCCCAACUUUCUUAGAGUUGACCUCGGAUCAGGUAGGAAUACCCGCUGAACUUAAGCAUAUCAAUAAGCGGAGGA
rnacentral:misc_RNA from 1 species